AUUGAACGCUGGCGGCAGGCCUAACACAUGCAAGUCGAGCGGCAGCGACUUAACUGAACCUUCGGGGAACGUUAAGGGCGGCGAGCGGCGGACGGGUGAGUAAUGCCUGGGAAUAUGCCCUGAUGUGGGGGAUAACUAUUGGAAACGAUAGCUAAUACCGCAUAAUCUCUUCGGAGCAAAGAGGGGGACCUUCGGGCCUCUCGCGUCAGGAUUAGCCCAGGUGGGAUUAGCUUGUUGGUGAGGUAAUGGCUCACCAAGGCAACGAUCCCUAGCUGGUCUGAGAGGAUGAUCAGCCACACUGGAACUGAGACACGGUCCAGACUCCUACGGGAGGCAGCAGUGGGGAAUAUUGCACAAUGGGGGAAACCCUGAUGCAGCCAUGCCGCGUGUGUGAAGAAGGCCUUCGGGUUGUAAAGCACUUUCAGUAGGGAGGAAGGUAGUGUAGUUAACACCUGCAUUAUUUGACGUUACCUACAGAAGAAGCACCGGCUAACUCCGUGCCAGCAGCCGCGGUAAUACGGAGGGUGCGAGCGUUAAUCGGAAUUACUGGGCGUAAAGCGCAUGCAGGCGGCCUGUUAAGUCAGAUGUGAAAGCCCGGGGCUUAACCUCGGAAUUGCAUUUGAAACUGGCAGGCUAGAGUCUUGUAGAGGGGGGUAGAAUUUCAGGUGUAGCGGUGAAAUGCGUAGAGAUCUGAAGGAAUACCAGUGGCGAAGGCGGCCCCCUGGACAAAGACUGACGCUUAGAUGCGAAAGCGUGGGGAGCAAACAGG
rnacentral:rRNA from 1 species